rnacentral:ncRNA from 1 species
AUAAGAUAUCAAGGCACAAUUGAAUGGCAACAACCUAGGGAAACUCCGGUGUAAGUCCGGGGCUGUGCGGCAACUGUCAAGGUUGAAAUGGCACGCUCUUUAAGGUUUGUAGUCGAUGCUUCAGUGUUUAUGGCGAAGACAGCGCAACGACGAACCUCGCUGACGUUCCACCUAAGCCAGAAUACCUAGCUGUUGCUUGUCCACCCU